rnacentral:ncRNA from 1 species
UGCGAUGAGUCGAGAAAAGACCAGAUGGUGACUAGUUCAUCAUUUCGCUGCGGCGGCAAGUGGUUUACUUUUCGAUGCAGGACACAUAUUCUAGCGUAUUCUAGAGUGCCUACUACUGUAUAUUGUGGAAUAU